UGAUAAUUAGUUUAAAUAAAACAAAUGAUUUCGACUCAUUAGAUUGUGGUCAUCCCCAUAAUUAUCAA
rnacentral:tRNA from 1 species